UUUGGCUCCGCUGCCGGAGCUGCGGCCCGCGGAUUGAUUCGCGUACGACCGCGCUCCUUCCUUCUUUCCUUCCCCGCGCUCCUCGCCCAAAGGGAGCCGCCUCGCGCGCCGAGGACGGAGGAAGGAACUACAUCUCCCAGCAGCCCCCGCGGCCGAUCCGGCUGGCCUCUGGGAUUUGUAGUCCUUUGACGCGGGGAAGCUGCGUCACGGAGGCCAUCGGCCGGGCGGCUACGUGCGGCCUGAGUAGGCGGCGCCAGCGAGGGAGGGUCGCUGGGAGAGGCCCCGGGGGCCAGGCCUACGUUUCCCAGCAUGCCCGUCUGUGAGGCGGGAAGAAGUGUGAUCCUCGUGCCCGGGGAGCCGCCGGUGUGGUAAAUGGGCCGCUGAAGGCAGGCUCGUGGCUGCGGGCAAGCCCGAGCCAGUAGGAACAGGCUAGUACGACCUCUGCCUAUGGCCCCAGGACUGCCCAGGCCACAGCGCCCCGCUGCAGCCCUUCCGCUCACACCUCCCGCCCGCCGGUGCCCAGAACCCCACACAACAAGCUGCCUGCAGCGCCAGAGCCGGCUUCCUUCGACGCCUCCCGUGCCUGGGGCCUCCUCCGCCCGCUCAGCUCUCCGGCGGCUCGCUGCAGCGAGUGUGUGGUAUAAAAGCCCCGCCCAGCUCCUUGUGGGGAAUGGCUCCAGGAGUCCUGAUGGCAGUCUCCCCUGCUAGUACUGGACCAGUAAAGAAGGUGCAUCCAUGGAGUCAGGCUGAAGAGGUGGCACAUGGUUCAGGAAAUGAGAAGAACCCAUGCCCAAUCUUAGUGAGAAGAAAUAGCUCCCACCUCUAUGCUAGCAGCCCAGCCCUCCCCCGUCCUCAUGGAGAAGAGAGGAAAGCAAUACUGCUACCAUCCGGAAGCAGCCACCCUGGACCAGCUCAUUCUUCCAAAUUCUAAAUGGACAGCUAUUCUCCAGCAGAUUCAGCAAUAUAGGAGUGCAUCAUUUCCCCCAAGUAGCUGGAUCUUUAAAGGACCCAGAAGAGUAACAUGACUGCAGAACUAAAGGGGACAAAGCAUGAGAAAUAUAAGCCUGGUUCCUACACUACUAAAAGAACUUUUAGAGAUUGACACCCAGGUUUUAAUGCAAAUGCCACUAGCUUCAAUAGACAUAAUCAGUGAUAACAAUGUUAUGGACCAUAAUAUGAUACCUACAUCUGAAGCAGUUAGACAAGAGAAAACAAACAGAAUGAGCUGGAACGUAUAGGCAGCAUGAAUAAAACCCGCAAAGGAGGAGGAGAUGGUUAGAAUAAUGGAAGAACUUGACAAUGUACCUUGAAAACAAUUGGAUAAACUUAACAUAUCAAUAGGUGAGUGAGGCUGCUCCUCAGCAUUGACCCAGAUCAAAAAUAUGUUAAUUUGGAUGAAGGAAGGAAGGAAGGUGAGUUUGGAUUCUGGAUUAUAUUUAAUGUCUCAUAUUUGACAAAAUUAGACAUGGUUGGCAGGCUUUGUUGAAAAGUGGCCCAGAAUACAGUUAACUUCGGGAAUUUGCUGUCAUCUCAUUAGAAUCCAUUCAGUUUAACACUGAACUGGGCAGGCUAAACAUUUAAGAACCUCCCUGCAAAUUACCUGAUGUGAAUAAAUGCAAGAGUCCUUUCCCUGCAACUUGGGGUGCCUGACAAUGCUUUACUGCUGAAGCUCCCACCUGAGCCACUCACAAACAGCCUGCAGGUUACACACUGACUUCCAGCAGCCUUGUUUACUAUUUUCAGGGUGACCCCAACACACUCCCAAAUCUCGAAUUUUCACCCCCAAAAAUGUGUUCUGCACUGUCCAGCCCUCCCCUGGACAGUCCAGAUAUAUUAGGUCCAUUGCCCCUCUAACAGGAUCAAUAUAUAACAGUCUGCUACCCUACAUGGAGUUACCCAUACAGUUCUCAGCACUGGAUUAGCUUUGAUUAAAGAAUAAAGCAAGUAUAUUUAACUACAAGGAGAUAGGUUUUAAGUGAAUACAGGUAUAAGACAUUAAAGUAAAAAAUGGUUAUAAGAGAAUUACAGAUGAAAUGCUUCCUAGGACUAAAACUUACCAAAUUAGACUUGGUUCAAGAUAAAAUUCUUACCACAUGGUCUGAGCAAUAGGACUGACCAAAUUUCAGG